UACGGAAGGCAGCAGUGGGGAAUAUUGCACAAUGGGCGCAAGCCUGAUGCAGCCAUGCCGCGUGUAUGAAGAAGGCCUUCGGGUUGUAAAGUACUUUCAGUCGUGAGGAAGGUGUUAAGGUUAAUAACCUUAGCAAUUGACGUUAGCGACAGAAGAAGCACCGGCUAACUCCGUGCCAGCAGCCGCGGUAAUACGGAGGGUGCGAGCGUUAAUCGGAAUUACUGGGCGUAAAGGGCACGCAGGCGGUUAAUUAAGUUGGAUGUGAAAUCCCCGGGCUUAACCUGGGAAUGGCAUUCAAGACUGGUUAGCUAGAGUCUUGUAGAGGGGGUAGAAUUCCAUGUGUAGCGGUGAAAUGCGUAGAGAUGUGGAGGAAUACCGGGUGGCGAAGGCGGCCCCUGGGCAAAGGCUGACGCUCAUGUGCGAAAGCGUGGGGAGCAAACGAGGAUUAGACUACC
rnacentral:rRNA from 1 species